rnacentral:misc_RNA from 1 species
CUCCAUUUUGCUUUUUUCCGUUAACCUCGAUUUUUCGACCGCGGAAAUUGCUCCGAGGCCGAAAGAAAAAGGGAGAACCGUAGAAAUUCAAGGGUUGGGGGGCGGGCAUCCCCUCAGGCCGAGAUUCUCUGCGUACCUAGUGACACGAAUAAAAUUUCAACGGACUCCUAUGAACGGAGUUCCUAUGCUUCGGGAACAGGUAAGUUGGUUCGUCAAUGAAUUAUUUCAAAGAUUAAUAUCAAAAGGACGAAAAGUUGAACGAUUCGAAAAGUAUGUAUUCCUUUCGUUUUUAUCUACU